rnacentral:lncRNA from 1 species
GGCCGGGGGGCGCUGGCCCUUUAAGGCAGCGAAGCCCCGCGAGCAUUCCGGCUGCCUCUCCCCCCAACGGCGCGGCCGCGUCAUCGUUCCGGGAAGCAGAUGGCGUCAUCCCGUCCUCCCGCUGCGGAGGGGCGGGGACUUGAAACAAAGGAAUAAAAAUAGAAGGUGAGGCCCGGGGCACGGUGGCCGCGGCGGUGACGUCGAGCUGAAAUCCGUCCCGAGCAUCACAACCCCUUCUCUCCCCCCCUUUACGCACUCACACCCUUGAACCGCGCCCGCGCCGCGCAUGCGCCGUGCCGCGGGUUAUUUAUAGGCGGUGGGAGCGAGAGGGGUGACGUAAUUCGGCGCUCGCUGCGUCGUGCGCGCGGUGUGUCACGUGCCUGGCGGCGUUCCCGGCGGCCUCGCGGCCUUUCCCCGCANNNNNNNNNNGGGUCCCGGCUUUCCCCGGAGCGCGCCCUGCCCGCCGGGACCUGCUGCUCCGCCCGGGCUGAGGAAAAAAUUCACUUGGAUUUUUAUGCACUCUUCUGCAAGAACAAGCACAGAAAGAAAGAAACUCCUAUGAAACCAAGUGCUAACUUCAGCCAGUCACUUUUUCCUCCCAGUGAGGCAGAAAUCUGAAGGACUUUUUAUCUCCAGAGUACAGCAAUUAGCAGCUGAGCCAGAAGUACUGUUGGGGGCAUCGUUCUUCCUACCAGUAUUCCAGCAAACGUCUGAUGGGCACAGG